GUAGGUGAACCUGCGGAAGGAUCAUUAUUGAGAACUUGCUCUACUGCAUUUCUCCACCCUUUGUUUACCACACCUGUUGCUUUGGCGGGCCGCCUACAGCCACCGGCUUCGGCUGGUGUGUGCCCGCCGGAGAACACAACCAACCUGUCUUAUAGUGUUGUCUGAGCAAAACAUAAUAUUAAAACUUUCAACAACGGAUCUCUUGGCUCUGGCAUCGAUGAAGAACGCAGCAUCUGACUGACUCGACAGC
rnacentral:misc_RNA from 1 species